CCUACGGGUGGCAGCAGUAGGGAAUUUUCGGCAAUGGGGGGAACCCUGACCGAGCAACGCCGCGUGAAGGAAGAAGUUAUUCGGAAUGUAAAGUUCUUUUAACAGGGAAGAAAGAGAAAUUUGACGGUACCUGAAGAAUAAGCCCCGGCUAACUACGUGCCAGCAGCCGCGGUCAUAAGGAGGGAGCGUGCGGUAGCCGGAAUUAUUGGGCGUAAAGGGUGCGUAGAUGGCAUAGUAAGUCUUUGGUAAAAAUGCUGGGCUCAACCCAGUAGGGCAAAAGAUACUGCAAGGCUAGAGUAUGACAGAGGUAAGCGGAACUACAUGUGUAGCGGUAAAAUGCGUAAAUAUAGGGAAGAACACCAGUGGCGAAGGCGGCUUACUGGGUCGAUACUGACAUUGAGGCACGAAAGCGUGGGGAGCAAACAGGAUUAGAUACCCUAGUAGUC
rnacentral:rRNA from 1 species